UCAUAAACAGAUACAGCAUCACUCGCAUGUCCCCAAUCUGAAUAGGCCUUUCCAUGAAGCAAGUCAACCUGAAAAUUCAUUUCAAGUAAGAAUGAUGCAAAGAAAAAUAUUUGUAAGACAUAUUACCAAGAAGGCAACUCACUUGAAUAGGGUCCACCUCCAAUUCAGUUUCCAUUGCAUAGCUAUCAGAUUUAACAUCAAUGGUACUUGAUUUUUUCAGAAGUCAGACGUUCACAAGAAAACAUAAGGACCUGAACAGCCUUCAUAAAAGUAAAAGACAAAGAGUUGGUAAAUACUGAAAUAUGUAAUGCUACAGGAUACACAUCUUCACAAUCCAAUGGGAAGAAAAAAAAGGAGGCUAAAUCCUAGAAUGUUGAUUUCAACAUAUUUUGAUGUGUGGAAUUAUAGGUCAAAAUUUGAAGAACUUUAUCAUGAAAUCAGAAAAUUAGAACCAUAAACAAUUUUCUUCAAAAUCCACAAAAGAGACAAUAAAGUCCACUGCUAACUAUAAAACAUUAAUAGAAACUGCAAGCAAGCCAUGUACAGAAAGGACUUGUGUCCACUGACCAUAAAUUGCAGAGUGAUCCUAAAAUGUCAAGAACUGCGAUUGGCCAAUAGCUUAAAGCAGCAAAAGUAUGUCCAUUUGUCCAACAUUUGGGACAAGUUCAUGUCAAUCACAAAAAAUCCUGGUAAAACCAUCUUGUAUCAAAUAUUUGAAUCUCCACAUUCAGCAGCAUAUACUAAAAAAACUAUAUAAAAACAGAUGUCCAAAUCAAGUUUAAUUUUCCUUUUAAUCUGAAUCCAUUGGAGUGUAUCAGCAGAACUUGAAAUACUGUAGCAUCCAGACAACCACCAUGGAUAUAUGCAAAUCAUUUUGAAUUAAGGAACUGCACAAUGGAAAGACACCAUACCCCAUCCCGUUUCUUAGCAGCAAGCAAUGCAU
rnacentral:misc_RNA from 1 species